rnacentral:rRNA from 1 species
CCUACGGGGAGCAGCAGUGGGGAAUAUUGGGCAAUGGAGGCAACUCUGAACCAGCAAUGCCGCGUGAAUGAAGAAGGUCUUCGGAUUGUAAAGUUCUUUAAUCAGGGACGAAGAAGAUGACGGUACCUGAGGAAUAAGCAACGGCAAACUAUGUGCCAGCAGCCGCCGUAAUACAUAGGUGGCAAGCGUUGUCCGGAAUGACUGGGGGGAAAGGGAGCGUAGGCGGUCAGUUAAGUUGGAAGGGAAAUCCCGGGGGUCAAACCCGGCACCGGUGUCAAGACUGGCGGACGUGAGUGGAAGAGAGGUAUGCGGAAUGCGUAGUGUAGCGGUGGAAUGCGUAGAUAUUAGGAGGAACAC